GGAGGCAGCGGCAGAGAUAAUUUUUUAGUUGACAUUUGAAAAUUAAAGGGAAUACGUGUUUUUUAAUUAGUGGGAAGUGUCUUUUUAAAUGAAAUGGAACAAGUAAAUAUGGAUGAAGUUGAUGUGAUGAUGCGUUUGCUUCGUAAGCUAAGUGCAGCAAAUGUGAGUCCGUCAACGACUUCAGGCACAAAUUGAUGAAAUUAUGGGACAGGAGUCCGAUCCAUUUGCAGCACAUCUAAUACCCAGGGCCUUAUAUACAGGCCAAAAGAUGGUAAGAUGUGGAAUUCAAAUCCUCCACCACCUGGAAGGCCUCGUUGUCACAAUGUUACAACUUUUACUCGUAAAGAGCCACUACAAGGAGCGUCACCGAGUCAUAAAGCUCUUUUCAAGCUAUUGCUGUCUCCUGAAAUCGUAAGUAUCAUUGUGCGGGAAACCAACAGAAAAGCCGUUGAAGCGUUUCGUCUAUGGAAUGAAAAGCAUCCCAGUAAUAAACAGAGUUCUUGGGUGAUGACUAACGAAGACGAAAUGUAUGCUUUUUUUGGGAUGCUACUUAUUGCUGGUGUAUUCCUCUCGAAUUCUCAGCCAGCGAAAGAAUUGUGGGCCAGUUACAAUAUGCCAAUUUAUAAGGCCACUAUGUCAUUGAAUCGGUUCAAGAGCUUAACUACUUUCAUCCGUUUCGAUAACAGUGGUACUCGUACUGAGAGGUUGAAGAAAAGCAAAUCUGCUGCCCUGGACGAUGUAUGGCUAAAGAAAGCAUACACUCCGGAUUGUCAUGUAACCGUCGAUGAACAGUUAUUUCCAUAUCGUGGGCGCACUCGAUUCACCCAAUAUAUUCCGAGUAAGCCGGCAAAGUAUGGCAUGAAAGUGUGGGGGAUUUGUGACUCUGCUUCAAACUAUCCUUUGAAAGGUAUAAUUUAUACCGGAAAACCACCAGGUGGCCAGCGAGAAACGAAUCAAGAUGAACGGGCCGUCAUGAAAUUGAUGGAAAAUUAUAUGGACAGCGGUAGGACUGUUUAAGCUGACAAUUUUUUUUCAACAUACAACUUGGCAGAAAUGUUGAUGGAUCGUAGAGUGGCCUUCGUCGGUACCGUAAGAAAAAAUAAGACCUUCAUUCCACAUGAGUUGCUUAACCCGAAGCGUGAUGUUAAAAGCACUUUAUUUUGUUAUCACAAUAAUAAUAUCGCUCUGUGCUCGUAUAUGGCAAAGCCGAAAAAGCCAGUAAUUAUGUUAUCCACUGCCCAUUACCGUCAAAGCACCGAUCCAUUGAAAGGAUUCAAGCCAGAUCAAAUUUUGGACUACAAUAAAUUUAAAGCGGGGGUAGAUGGAUCAAAUGUUGACUGGCUAUUCGUGCAAACGCUCGACAAACCGUUUGUCACUGGCAAUGUUUUAUAAUAUGCUUGAUAUUGCCGGUUUGGCCUCAUUCAUCAUCUAUGACGAGCUGAAUCCGGCAAAGCAGAGUGAUAAGAGGCGCUCAUUUAUCAUUGAAUUGGCACGGCAGCUAGUUAUCCCACAUAGUAUGGAGGUUUGCUCGUAUAAGACAAGCAAUGAAUCUUUUCAAUAUCAAGGUACCGGAAUCUUGUCCAUCGACAUCAGAUGCAGCACAGCAACAAUCAUAUGCUCAAGUUGCUUCAGCACGGUCAUCGUGCUACCAUUGUGCUGCUUCUUCUUCGAAAAAGCGACGUAAAACUCGUUAUAACUGCAGCAAAUGUAAUCGUCCCAUAUGUCUUAAUGAACAUUCCAUGCAACUAUAUAGUUGUAAACCCAAUUGCUCUUCGUAAUUAAUACUAAUCCGUUCAAAUAAAUAAAUAAAAUUAUUUUUAAAACCGUAUUUCUUACAUUAUUUGUAUGGGUCUGGGCAGACCCUUAUGAUGCACUUACCGCAUCAUAAGGCACCGAACA